CAAUAGCGUAUAUUAAAGUUGUUGCAGUUAAAAAGCUCGUAGUUGGACCUUGGACCUGGACAGGCGGUCCGCCUCACGGCGUGUACUGUCUUGCUGGGUCUUUCCUCUUGGUGAUCUGUUGUUUCGGCAGCGGGGAACCAGGACUUUUACUUUGAAAAAAUUAGAGUGUUCAAAGCAGGCUCGACGCCGGAAUAUAUUAGCAUGGAAUAAUAAAAUAGGACGUGCGGUUCUAUUUUGUUGGUUUUUGGAAUCGCCGUAAUGAUUAAUAGGGACAGUCGGGGGCAUUAGUACUCACAUGCUAGAGGUGAAAUUCUUGGAUUUUGUGAAGACUAACUUCUGCGAAAGCAUUUGCCAAGGAUGUUUUCAUUAA
rnacentral:rRNA from 1 species